rnacentral:ncRNA from 1 species
AGUGGCGCAGUCCGAAAAGUUGGUGGAGCGAUUUAUCUGUUUAAUUCUUAUAAAAAACGAGACUCUAGCCUGCUAGAUAGUACGCCAGUCCUCUGUUCCUGUGCUGGCAGCGUUUUUGCGAAAGUGCUCACUUCAGCUGACUACUUUCAGGCCGCAUAUUUCUCUGCGCGCGUGUGCUGCGAGCCCCACCCGGGGUGAGUGGUGUGCAUGCGCGUGGGGGCGUUGACUGUGGUAGGAGGGGUGAGCAGUGGGUUCUGCGCCAGCCUCCUGGUAUGGCGCAGGUGUGUCUACUUCUUAGAGGGACAAGCAUUACGAAUAUGCACGAAAUUUAACAAUAAGGUCUGAGAUGCCCU